CUUAGUGUGCCUGUUUUAUAGGUAAAUUGAGGCAUUUGUCCAAAAUAAAUGUUGAAAAGUUAAGAGUCUGCCAACUCACGUAGAAGUGAGAAGAGGAUAAAAUAACCCCACAAAUGCCAUCUACCCCUGCUUCCUGACUGACAACCAUCCAGAUGGGCAGCUGAGCCCCUCCGGGCACAUUGGGCAAAUUCAGCCCACCUCAUCACAUGCUAAAAACCCUACACUCGGAACUGAGUGGGGCUAUAAUUUGACCUGGGGAGAGCAAGGUUGUAAUAGAAACUCUAGUCCCUGAGCACAGACCUGAAGAAGGUUCAUUUACGAAACACAACCUGUUUUUCAUAGCUUUGGGUCACUGCUGCCAACCCUGCACCCGUGGUUCCUGGGCCGCAGACACCUACCUCCAGUGGCUGUUUGCAGUCUGAUCGGGUCCCAAAGUCUGUCUAGAAAUGGGGGCCAGGACAGUUCUUAACUGUUAGAAAUAAAUCAGUAGUAGCCAGAAAUGGAAAGACCAUUUAACUACUUGUUGGAAUAAGGAUUAAACUUAGUCAGAAAUUGUCUGAGACCUGGUUAGAAUAGCUCUAAAGACCAUACUGAUGUAUUGUAGAAUAUAUUGAAAGUAACUGGAGAGGUUUUUUUUUUUGUCUUCCAAUAAAGUGUUUUGGGCACUCUUGGUACUGAGAAUUUUCCAAAUGGUGUGGUUUUUGUUGACUCUUCCAAAUGCUUCAUUUUUCAUGUCACAGAAUUUUAGUAUAAACAGUUUAUUUACUUGGUAAAUUAUACUGCUAGGAUAUAGUCAAGCAGCAUAAAAUGUUAUUAGUAAUUGGAAUACCAAUU
rnacentral:lncRNA from 1 species